UUGGAGGGCAAGUCUGGUGCCAGCAGCCGCGGUAAUUCCAGCUCCAAUAGCGUAUAUUAAAGUUGUUGCAGUUAAAAAGCUCGUAGUUGAAUUUCGGGAUCAAUUUAUUGGUCGUGCUAUUGUACGUACUGGUAUUAUUGAUUCCUACCUUCUGACGAACCAUGAUGUCAUUAAUUUGGUGUCUUGGGGAAUCAGGACUG
rnacentral:rRNA from 1 species